AACGGAACUGCUAGGUCAUAUGGUCUAGGUUUAAUUUUUUGAGGAACUGCCAGACUGUUUUCCAAAGGGGCUGCACCAUUUUACAUUCCUACCAGUAGU
rnacentral:pre_miRNA from 1 species